AGUGUUCUUAAGUGGAUGGCGUUCUUUCUACAAGUUGUGGCACGUUCCAGUAGGGAAAGUCUUUUGCCAAGCAGGUGGGGUGUCUUUGUUUUCUGACUUCUGUUCCAUGCAUGCCAUGACUACUCUUGUCUCUGCUUCUGACCUUUAUGAGAAUGUCUCAAGACUCAGCCUCCAUUAGGAAUGUGUCUUUCUUGGGCUGAGCAAUGAGGACCAGCUUUCUAACAUGUUCCUUGUACACCAGAUCUCUGCCAAAUAAUGGAGUCUCAGAACUGGAAGGCACAUGUGUGACUGGAGAGUGCCUAUGGGUUGAUUCCUUUGUGAAUUACAUGGAGCUGACACAGCUGAAACCCACUAUGACCCAGAUGAGGACAGAAGCUUGUGCUGGAAGAGUGGCUGUGUCCCUAUGUGACAAGGCCUGAGAUGUCCUAAGGACUGAUACAAGCAAAUAAAAAAAAAACAGGUAAUAAAGAGUAUGGACAUAUCUUUGAUCCACAUUGUGGCCAAAAGCUUUGGAUUUAGAGCUAUAAAGGGCAGUUUUCAUUUUCUAGAAUUAUGUUAAGAUCUAAAGUUCUUCUUAUUGCUCACAUUACCCUUAUUGUGUAAUAAUGAUCAACCAAAUAAAUGGAUAUAUAGGAGGGAAGUGAGAAUAAUCUAUUAAGCAGAUGUCCUCUAUGACAGCAAAAACGAUUGUACAUGCAGAUUCACCAAUACCUAUGUCCUGUUUUCUUUGCACCUCUUUGUGAACUUUGUCUCUUUUUCCUAUUUAGCACCAUUUCUUGCCCAGGCUUUGUCCAGUGAUUGAUUUAAGUCCAACUUUGUGUGCAUACAAGCCUGCUAUAUAAUAGUGCUACCUACAAGCUCAGGGUUGGGAGGAAAAAUCUUUUCUCAUUUAUUUAUGCAUCUAUAAAAGAAGCCAGGAUAUUUUUAUGCCCUGUUAUUAUAGACCACAUUCUCCACAACACAUAUAGGAAAAGGAUUGGGUCAAAUGGAAUACUUACAAGAUACAAAAGAAUUUAAAGUAGCAGCAGGAAAGCCUAAUUCUAUCAGAGAAAAUCCAAAUAACAAUCCUAUUACUCUUUUGUAAAAGUCCUGGAUAAAUAAACAUGUUGACUCUGGUAAAAUAACCAAAUCCAAUGUGGAACUGAGAGUCAUCAGAGCAAAGCCAAUGCCCUUUGGUGCUCAGAAUGGGUUCACAUUUGCAAAUAGUGUUGCCUGGUGUAGUAGAAAGAGUCCCAUAAACCUAGGUUUGAAUUUCAGAUCUGCCAUUGAUUGGCCAAGUGACCUUCUGAUCCUCAAUACUCCCCACAAUGGACAAAAUGAUACUUAGCUUCUAGAGCUGUUGGUAAGAGUAGAUAUAUGGUUUAAAGUGUCUAGAACAGUGCACAGAUGAGCUCAAAAGUAAGUUACUUUUAUUGUUACUACUGUUAAUCAUCUUGGCACACUGCUUUUCUAUCAAAUGCCUCUAAUAUUAUAAUGAAUAUGAAGACCCCCACUGAACUUGAAAUAAUAAAAUGCCUUAAAUUCAGAGAACAUUUUUGACCUAAAGUACUCAGAUUCCUUCCUUUCCAUUCCUCCUCUGAUUAGUACUAUAAAGUGAAAGGAAUGCUAUCAUGAGGACGUCUGAGUACAGGUGCAGGGGUAGAAUGGAAUAGCACUGCCUGGCCACCUCUGGUUGCACCACUUUUACUAUCAAUCCAGGUUAAGUGAAGGAACAAAAUGGCACCAGGAGGAAGAGGGUGGGCAGAAGGAAACAAGGAGUGAACUCUUCACAUCUUAGGCCACCAAGGAUGUCUCAAAGGAUCCAAUCCACUUACACAAAAUGCAAAUCAGUUUGAGUCAUC
rnacentral:lncRNA from 1 species